ACCUGCGGAGGGAUCAUUACACAAAUAUGAAGGCGGGCUGGAACCUCUCGGGGUUACAGCCUUGCUGAAUUAUUCACCCUUGUCUUUUGCGUACUUCUUGUUUCCUUGGUGGGUUCGCCCACCACUAGGACAAACAUAAACCUUUUGUAAUUGCAAUCAGCGUCAGUAACAAAUUAAUAAUUACAACUUUCAACAACGGAUCUCUUGGUUCUGGCAUCGAUGAAGAACGCAGCGAAAUGCGAUAAGUAGUGUGAAUUGCAGAAUUCAGUGAAUCAUCGAAUCUUUGAACGCACAUUGCGCCCUUUGGUAUUCCAAAGGGCAUGCCUGUUCGAGCGUCAUUUGUACCCUCAAGCUUUGCUUGGUGUUGGGCGUCUUGUCUCUAGCUUUGCUGGAGACUCGCCUUAAAGUAAUUGGCAGCCGGCCUACUGGUUUCGGAGCGCAGCACAAGUCGCACUCUCUAUCAGCAAAGGUCUAGCAUCCAUUAAGCCUUUUUUUCAACUU
rnacentral:rRNA from 1 species